GAAUACAGAAGAAGGAAA
rnacentral:sRNA from 1 species